rnacentral:rRNA from 1 species
UACGGAGGGUGCAAGCGUUACUCGGAAUUACUGGGAGUAAAGCGUGCGCAGGCGGUUUGUUAAGUCUGUUGUGAAAUCCCCGAGCUCAACUUGGGAAUUGCAAUGGAUACUGGCAGGCUGGAGUAUGGUAGAGGAAGGUGGAAUUCCCGGUGUAGCAGUGAAAUGCGUAGAGAUCGGGAGGAACACCAGUGGCGAAGGCGGCCUUCUGGACCAAUACUGACGCUCAUGCACGAAAGCGUGGGGAGCAAACAGG